CAUUAAGAUAGAGGCUGUGUAACUAAUUCCAGUUGAAUUAGGUUAUAUUUUUUCAAGAUGGAGGUCUUCCAUAGCAAUGUUACAAUAUUCUUGGUGUUUUCCUGGAUUGUAGGAAAACAUACUGGUAAAGGACUAAGUGGUGCCCACCCUGGUUAUGUUUGGCUAGAGUGGCAUUUCUGAGGGAGCAAGAAGGGAUGCUUUUUUUGAAUAGACUGAAUCUAAUUUCUUUUCUUUUUCUGUUACUUGGAACGAUAGUUAAGACUGCCUAAAGAUGAGGAUACUACUGUUAUCAAAGCUACAUGCCAAAUAGGAAGACAGAAACAAUCUCAGUAAGAAAGAUAGCUGUAAGACUUGCUCAUCACAUUGCGAGAGUCUAGUCCAAGAGGAAGAAAAUCAGCGCUGGGCCUGGAACUCCUUCUCCCAGUUGGUUGUGCAGAGAGGGGUGGUGCCCUGUGGCAGUGGGGCAGCGCGCACUCAGGCGAGCGGGCGCUCCGGCGGCCUGCUCUCCCCGGCUCCCCAGCCUGCCGAGUCAGGCUCUAGGGCAAUUCUGGCACAGCUGAGAUUCUUCUGUAGAAGUGCAGAAGCCACCCAGAGAAGGACAACUGUGGUACAGCCUUGCUCUCCCAGUCCAAUG
rnacentral:lncRNA from 1 species